CCGAGUUUACAACUCCCAAACCCCUGUGAACAUACCUAUACGUUGCCUCGGCGGAUCAGCCCGCGCCCCGUAAAACGGGACGGCCCGCCCGAGGACCCCUAAACUCUGUUUUUAGUGGAACUUCUGAGUAAAACAAACAAAUAAAUCAAAACUUUCAACAACGGAUCUCUUGGUUCUGGCAUCGAUGAAGAACGCAGCAAAAUGCGAUAAGUAAUGUGAAUUGCAGAAUUCAGUGAAUCAUCGAAUCUUUGAACGCACAUUGCGCCCGCCAGUAUUCUGGCGGGCAUGCCUGUUCGAGCGUCAUUUCAACCCUCAAGCUCAGCUUGGUGUUGGGACUCGCGGUAACCCGCGUUCCCCAAAUCGAUUGGCGGUCACGUCGAGCUUCCAUAGCGUAGUAAUCAUACACCUCGUUACUGGUAAUCGUCGCGGCCACGCCGUUAAACCCCAACUUCUGAUGUUGGACCUCNGAUCAGGUAGGAA
rnacentral:rRNA from 1 species